UGCCAGAUGCAUGCCGAUUGAGCUGCUGAAGGAGGCGUCCCCUGUUGCUAGGUAGGUUAGAAGGCUGGUUCUCACUGACUGAGAGUAAGAGCAGCCAAAAGAUGGGGUUCCUGGGAAAGAAAAGCUUGGACCGGAAGAGGGAAAGAAAGCGCCGACAAGAAGAUAAAAUUGAAAUGGACGGAACCAAGGUCUACUAUCGGCUGCAAGUACAGACUUUAUUUAUAGAGAUGAAAGAGGGAGAAACUGGAACUGAAGAACAACUACGUUGUUAUGAUUUGUAAUGAAUUUCAUACCAGUGUCUCCCAGGAAUAAGGAAUAUAUCCAUAUAAGCACAGAGGUUAAGGUCAAACAUCCGUGGUAGGAGCCACACAGGUCUCGCUUCACACGACAUCAUGGAGAGAAGCCCCAAGGUUCCAGUGUCUUCUGUAUUUGGUGACUGCACCGUCUUCCAUUGAAUGGAAUAUUCAAGGUUUUCCUUUGUGGGUGUAUCUUUUCCUUCCAAAAAUUAGCAAGCCAACUGCAGAGGCAGCUAUUUAAGAAAAAGACUAUCUCUCUUCAAAUCUUUUUAUGCCAUGGCUUUAAGAAAAGCCAAUGAACCUUGUUGGAAGAAUGAUUCCUAUGUUUAGAGAAGGAUAGUAUUUGAUUCCUAUCACGCUUCCUAUAUUUGUUGACUGGUAUCCUCUGAUAAUGAAGAGGUUGAAGAGAUUUAAUUUCUGUUCCCCCAGAUUAAAACAUGAUUGUAAUUUGCAAAUUCA